rnacentral:rRNA from 1 species
GAUGAACGCUAGCGGCAGGCUUAAUACAUGCAAGUCGAGGGGCAGCACGAAUAGCAAUAUUUGGUGGCGACCGGCGCACGGGUGCGUAACACGUAUACAACCUACCUAUAACAGGGGGAUAGCCUUUCGAAAGAGAGAUUAAUACCCCGUAAUAAAUUGAGUGGCAUCACUUGAUUUUGAAAGCUACGGCGGUUAUAGAUGGGUAUGCGUCUGAUUAGCUAGUUGGUGAGGUAACGGCUCACCAAGGCGACGAUCAGUAGGGGAUCUGAGAGGACUAACCCCCACACUGGUACUGAGACACGGACCAGACUCCUACGGGAGCAGCAGUAAGGAAUAUUGGUCAAUGGAAGGCAACUCUGAACCAGCCAUGCCGCGUGCAGGAUGACGGCCCUAUGGGUUGUAAACUGCUUUUGUACCAGAGAAAACCUACUCACGUGUGAGUAGCUGAUAGUAUGGUAAGAAUAAGCAUCGGCUAACUUCGUGCCAG